UUUGUAGGUGGCUUGCUCAGUCAGACGUGAAAUCCCUCAGCUUAACUGGGGAACUGCGUCUGAUACUAGCGAGCUUGAGUGCAGGAGAGGAACGCGGAAUUCCAGGUGUAGCGGUGAAAUGCGUAGAUAUCUGGAGGAACACCGGUGGCGAAGGCGGCGUUCUGGACUGCAACUGACACUGAAAAACGAAAGCCAAGGGGAGCAAACG
rnacentral:rRNA from 1 species